GGGUGGGUGGGGUGGGAUAGGGGUGUGUUAAGGAUACCUAGUGGAUAAAAGGGGGGGGUGGGGAUGGGGGGUUGUAGAGGAGUCCUCGUGGCAAGAGCAUCAUAAAAUCAAAGCACACAAUAUUUAUCCCUGAGUUAUACUUUUAUGAAACUUAAAUUACAAAAGAUUACAUGAUCCUUAUUGCACAGUGAAGUGGUGAUUCUAGUUAUGGUGAUGU